GACGAACGCUGGCGGCGUGCCUAACACGUGCAAGUCGAGCGAAUGAAGUUCUUUCGGGAAUGGAUUUAGCGGCGGACGGGUGAGUAACACGUGGGCAACCUGCCUCAUAGAGGGGAAUAGCCUUCCGAAAGGGAGAUUAAUACCGCAUAAGAUUGUAGUACCGCAUGGUACAGCAAUUAAAGGAGCAAUCCGCUAUGAGAUGGGCCCGCGGCGCAUUAGCUAGUUGGUGAGGUAACGGCUCACCAAGGCGACGAUGCGUAGCCGACCUGAGAGGGUGAUCGGCGACAUUGGGACUGAGACACGGCCCAGACUCCUACGGGAGGCGGCAGUGGGGAAUAUUGCACAAUGGGGGGGACCCUGAUGCAGCAACGCCGCGUGAGUGAUGACGGCCUUCGGGUUGUAAAGCUCUGUCUUCAGGGACGAUAAUGACGGUACCUGAGGAGGAAGCCACGGCUAACUACGUGCCAGCAGCCGCGGUAACAC
rnacentral:rRNA from 1 species